AAAUUAAGACCUCAAAUUAUCGCGAAAAGUAUAAUAAAUUCUAAACGAUGAUGAGAAACUCCACACCCUGUCACCCAUCACAGAGGAGAAAAUGCUGAAUUAGAACUCCAUGGACCCCACCACCUCACAGGCCCCCCCACAACACGAAUAAGAACAGCCUGUGAUGAAGCUGUGAACGCUACAUUUCACCUCACCACCUCCUUCUAAAAACAAAACAAAAACACAACGCAAAACCCAAAACACACAUUUCAUCAUUCUCUUCUCUCUGUUUUCUUCUUGAGCUCAAAUUUUGCAGAGCUUUCAAAACAGAGCCAACAGCAACAACAACUUGCUUCAGAUUUUCCAACCUUGCCCCCAAGCCAAUCACUCCCAGCGUCUCACAAGGCCUUCAAGAUCCAUUAACAGAGCAGCCAGGCCUGCGCAGGAGGCUCUCUUCUAUCUCCCUCAAGCUCCAGCCCAUCUCAUCCCCUGCAACAUCAUGGGCCUUGAGCAGAUCCAAAUCGGUUUCCGCCAUGGGAGAGUAUGCAGGAGGGUCCAUAAGAAAAUGGUGGCUCUGGGGUUGGACUUGGAUCCUCUCCAGAAAACCCAUCUUUGCUCAAGAUCUGGAGAUGAACGAGGAGGAGACUAAAGUUCUUGGCUUUGACAACAACGGUUUUGUGUUGAAGCUGUUCGAUACUAUCGAGAACGAUAUUUCGCCGACAAUUUCGGCGACAUUCUCGACAUUCGGACGAAAACUGUAUGGUUUGUGCCCAGAGUAUCGGCAUGUGAAAAAUAUCGGCGAUAAUUUCGAUUUUUAAGACAUUGUUCGAUACUAUCGAGAAUGAUAUUUCGCCGACAAUUUCGGCGACAUUAUCGACAUUCGGACGAAAACUGUAUGGUUUGUGCCCAGAGUAUCGGCAUGUGAAAAAAAUGAAAUUAUCUCCGAUAUUUCGGCGACAAUUUCGAUUUUUAAGACAUUGGUGUGAGAAUGGCCCUAAAUGCCCAUUGGACAUAUUUGGAAUUCCAUACAAGAGGGAAAUUACCUUAAGUUCUAUGGUGCUAUAAAACGUGCCUAUCCAGACAUCAAAAUAAUUUCAAACUGUGACGGAUCUUCUCAAAACUUGGAUCAUCCAGCUGAUUUGUUCGAUUUUCAUGUAAAUUUCAUAACACCACCACUUGUAUUACACUUGCUAAUG